rnacentral:rRNA from 1 species
UACGUAGGGCGCGAGCGUUGUCCGGAAUUAUUGGGCGUAAAGAGCUCGUAGGCGGUCUGUCGCGUCUGUUGUGAAAACUCGAGGCUCAACCUCGGGCUUGCAGUGGAUACGGGCAGACUAGAGUGCGGUAGGGGAGACUGGAAUUCCUGGUGUAGCGGUGGAAUGCGCAGAUAUCAGGAGGAACACCGAUGGCGAAGGCAGGUCUCUGGGCCGCAACUGACGCUGAGGAGCGAAAGCAUGGGGAGCGAACAGG